ACACGUAGGGGGCGAGCGUUGUUCGGAAUCAUUGGGCGUAAAGGGCGUGCAGGCGGCCGCCAAAGUCCGGCGUGAAAGACCCAGGCUCAACCUGGGGGGUGCGCCGGAUACUGGGCGGCUUGAGUACAGGAGGGGACGGCGGAAUUCCAGGUGUAGGGGUGAAAUCUGUAGAUAUCUGGAGGAACACCGAUGGCGAAGGCAGCCGUCUGGCCAUGUACUGACGCUGAGGCGCGAAGGUGCGGGGAGCAAACAGGUUUAGAUACCCUGGUAGUCCGCACAGUAAACGAUGUGCACCAGGCGGCGGGGGCAACCUCGCUGCCGCAGUCAACGCAUUAAGUGCACCGCCUGGGGAGUAUGCCCGCAAGGGUGAA
rnacentral:rRNA from 1 species